rnacentral:rRNA from 1 species
GACGGGGGGGCAAGUGUUCUUUAGAAUGACUGGGCGUAAAGGGCACGUAGGUAGUGAAUCGGGUUGAAAGUCAAAGUCGCCAAAAACUGGCUGAAUGCUCUCGAAACCAAUUCACUUGAGUGAGAUAGAGGAGAGUGGAAUUUCGUGUGUAGGGGUGAAAUCCAUAGAUCUACGAAGGAACGCCAAAAGCAAAGGCAGCUCUCUGGGUCCCUACUGACGCUGGGUACGAAAGCAUAGGGAGCGAAUAGG